rnacentral:rRNA from 1 species
GUGAAGCCCAGCUUGCUGGGUGGAUCAGUGGCGAACGGGUGAGUAACACGUGAGCAACCUGCCCUCCACUUCGGGAUAAGCCUUGGAAACGGGGUCUAAUACCGGAUAUGAGCUCGCAUCGCAUGGUGUGGGUUGGAAAGUUUUUCGGUGGGGGAUGGGCUCGCGGCCUAUCAGCUUGUUGGUGGGGUGAUGGCCUACCAAGGCGUCGACGGGUAGCCGGCCUGAGAGGGCGACCGGCCACACUGGGACUGAGACACGGCCCAGACUCCUACGGGAGGCAGCAGUGGGGAAUAUUGCACAAUGGGCGCAAGCCUGAUGCAGCGACGCCGCGUGAGGGAUGACGGCCUUCGGGUUGUAAACCUCUUUCAGCAGGGAAGAAGCGCAAGUGACGGUACCUGCAGAAGAAGCGCCGGCUAACUACGUGCCAGCAGCCGCGGUAAUACGUAGGGCGCAAGCGUUGUCCGGAAUUAUUGGGCGUAAAGAGCUCGUAGGCGGUCUGUCGCGUCUGGUGUGAGAUCCCGAGGCUCAACCUCGGGCUUGCAUCGGGUACGGGCAGACUAGAGUGCGGUAGGGGAGACUGGAAUUCCUGGUGUAGCGGUGGAAUGCGCAGAUAUCAGGAGGAACACCGAUGGCGAAGGCAGGUCUCUGGGCCGCAACUGACGCUGAGGAGCGAAAGCAUGGGGAGCGAACAGGAUUAGAUACCCUGGUAGUCCAUGCCGUAAACGUUGGGCACUAGGUGUGGGGCUCAUUCCACGAGUUCCGUGCCGCAGCUAACGCAUUAAGUGCCCCGCCUGGGGAGUACGGCCGCAAGGCUAAAACUCAAAGGAAUUGACGGGGGCCCGCACAAGCGGCGGAGCAUGCGGAUUAAUUCGAUGCAACGCGAAGAACCUUACCAAGGCUUGACAUGUACGAGAAAGCCCCCGAGACGGGGUUCUCUUUGGACACUCGUACACAGGUGGUGCAUGGUUGUCGUCAGCUCGUGUCGUGAGAUGUUGGGUUAAGUCCCGCAACGAGCGCAACCCUCGUCCUAUGUUGCCAGCGGGUUAUGCCGGGGACUCAUGGGAGACUGCCGGGGUCAACUCGGAGGAAGGUGGGGAUGACGUCAAAUCAUCAUGCCCCUUAUGUCUUGGGCUUCACGCAUGCUACAAUGGCCGGUACAGAGGGCUGCGAUACCGUAAGGUGGAGCGAAUCCCAAAAAGCCGGUCUCAGUUCGGAUUGGGGUCUGCAACUCGACCCCAUGAAGUCGGAG